rnacentral:rRNA from 1 species
GCGAUUUCCGAAUGGGGAAACCCAGUGUGAUUCGUCACACUAUCAUUAACUGAAUCCAUAGGUUAAUGAGGCGAACCGGGGGAACUGAAACAUCUAAGUACCCCGAGGAAAAGAAAUCAACCGAGAUUCCCCCAGUAGCGGCGAGCGAACGGGGAGGAGCCCAGAGCCUGAAUCAGUGUGUGUGUUAGUGGAAGCGUCUGGAAAGGCGCGCGAUACAGGGUGACAGCCCCGUACACAAAAAUGCACAUGCUGUGAGCUCGAUGAGUAGGGCGGGACACGUGGUAUCCUGUCUGAAUAUGGGGGGACCAUCCUCCAAGGCUAAAUACUCCUGACUGACCGAUAGUGAACCAGUACCGUGAGGGAAAGGCGAAAAGAACCCCGGCGAGGGGAGUGAAAAAGAACCUGAAACCGUGUACGUACAAGCAGUGGGAGCACAGAGCAAUCUGUGUGACUGCGUACCUUUUGUAUAAUGGGUCAGCGACUUAUAUUCUGUAGCAAGGUUAACCGAAUAGGGGAGCCGAAGGGAAACCGAGUCUUAACUGGGCGUUAAGUUGCAGGGUAUAGACCCGAAACCCGGUGAUCUAGCCAUGGGCAGGUUGAAGGUUGGGUAACACUAACUGGAGGACCGAACCGACUAAUGUUGAAAAAUUAGCGGAUGACUUGUGGCUGGGGGUGAAAGGCCAAUCAAACCGGGAGAUAGCUGGUUCUCCCCGAAAGCUAUUUAGGUAGCGCCUCGUGAAUUCAUCUCCGGGGGUAGAGCACUGUUUCGGCAAGGGGGUCAUCCCGACUUACCAACCCGAUGCAAACUGCGAAUACCGGAGAAUGUUAUCACGGGAGACACACGGCGGGUGCUAACGUCCGUCGUGAAGAGGGAAACAACCCAGACCGCCAGCUAAGGUCCCAAAGUCAUGGUUAAGUGGGAAACGAUGUGGGAAGGCCCAGACAGCCAGGAUGUUGGCUUAGAAGCAGCCAUCAUUUAAAGAAAGCGUAAUAGCUCACUGGUCGAGUCGGCCUGCGCGGAAGAUGUAACGGGGCUAAACCAUGCACCGAAGCUGCGGCAGCGACACUAUGUGUUGUUGGGUAGGGGAGCGUUCUGUAAGCCUGUGAAGGUGUGCUGUGAGGCAUGCUGGAGGUAUCAGAAGUGCGAAUGCUGACAUAAGUAACGAUAAAGCGGGUGAAAAGCCCGCUCGCCGGAAGACCAAGGGUUCCUGUCCAACGUUAAUCGGGGCAGGGUGAGUCGACCCCUAAGGCGAGGCCGAAAGGCGUAGUCGAUGGGAAACAGGUUAAUAUUCCUGUACUUGGUGUUACUGCGAAGGGGGGACGGAGAAGGCUAUGUUGGCCGGGCGACGGUUGUCCCGGUUUAAGCGUGUAGGCUGGUUUUCCAGGCAAAUCCGGAAAAUCAAGGCUGAGGCGUGAUGACGAGGCACUACGGUGCUGAAGCAACAAAUGCCCUGCUUCCAGGAAAAGCCUCUAAGCAUCAGGUAACAUCAAAUCGUACCCCAAACCGACACAGGUGGUCAGGUAGAGAAUACCAAGGCGCUUGAGAGAACUCGGGUGAAGGAACUAGGCAAAAUGGUGCCGUAACUUCGGGAGAAGGCACGCUGAUAUGUAGGUGAAGCGACUUGCUCGUGGAGCUGAAAUCAGUCGAAGAUACCAGCUGGCUGCAACUGUUUAUUAAAAACACAGCACUGUGCAAACACGAAAGUGGACGUAUACGGUGUGACGCCUGCCCGGUGC